CCCAACAGCUUUUGUGCCAUGGGGUGAUACCGAAGUGGCUGAGAACCCAAAAGCUCAAGCUGAGCUGUUGAGUGGGGUCUGCUGACACGGUGGUGGCUGUUGAUACCCAGCACUGCUGCUCUUGUGGCAUCCUGUGGGAAAAUGUGGGAUCUGUCCCCUCCCCAGACCCAGGGUGCUGCUCACCCUCCUGGAGCCAGUCAGGAGGUGACAGCCCCAUCCUCCCCUCUCCUCUCACCCAGGCUGUCAGAUCCAAGUCAGGGGUCACAGUCCUCUGCCUCUGAUAUCACCAGCUCUCACUGCAGAAAGGAUAAUGAAUGGGCUGUUAGAGAAGACUGAAAAAAGAGAUAAAAUGAAGGAGAAAAGAGCUUCUGGUUGGAGCCACACAGGACAGACACUGACAAUCAAAACUCAUGGCUGCACACAGAUGUGGUCCCCACCUCUCUCUUGCUCCCUGUAUGGAUUUUGCUGCCUAUCUCACCACUUCUGAACAAUAUUAUUUAAAAAAAAAACCCAUGACCUGAGUAGCAACCACUCUCCUGCCUACCCAACAGUGCCCUAUAAACACAGGCCUUAUAAACACGGCCUGCAAAAUGUUCAGUGGAGUUUCUGCACUUGCAACAGGAGCCCAGGGCAGGGAUGAAGUCACCUUGAACUGAAUUCCCCCCAAAACCCCUGCUGGGGUUUCAAACCUCUGAUUUGGGCUUUGUCAGAUACAAACCAGAGCAGAAAGAUGUCUUAGACAAAAGGAGCAGGACUUGCUGUGUGGGACAAAGGAAGGAAAGCAGGCUGGGGGUGGCUGUAGUUAACACUUCUGCUCCUGAAGGCCUUUCAGACCCUGCAGCCAGGUGUGCUCAGAGACACCCACAUGCCCUAUUUCAAGGUCAACAUCAACUACAAAACUCCUGGUGUCCAGAUUUAGACUGGAAUCCAAAACACAUGAGGGACAAGUUAAUUCUGCCUGUGAUAAAAGGGAGGGGGGAGGCUGGCCAGCAGAUUUUGCUGUCGUUCCAGUAGCAAGUGGAAAGUCAAGGACUAUCCCCAAAGGAGGCCUAAUCAGGCCACAGAAUCACAAUUCGGGUUUCCACUUGGCAGGAAAUAUGUGUUAAAGCUAAAUGGAUUUCCUUUGGUAAAGCAGAAGCUUAACUGAGACAACACAGUGUUUUAACACACUUUUAAAGUAAUAAAAAUUGUUGUUGAGGCUCUGCA
rnacentral:lncRNA from 1 species